rnacentral:lncRNA from 1 species
CCAAGAUCAAUCAGAAGAAAGGUGUGAAAAUUCUCCAUCAUCGCAGAAAGUUCUAAUGGACAGUGCUGCUCCCAACAGAAAGAAUGGCAAAUACACAGGUCCUGAAGAGGCGGACAACAGAAGAAGUAACAAGGAGGAAGAUAAGAUGGAGUCAGACUUCAAGGAGGAAAUUGGAGAAAAUGCAUUUAAGAGAAAGAAAAAAUGAGGAUCAAUCAGGCUGAAGUGAAUAGUUACAAUUUGCCUACAGCCCGGCAUAACUACUAUCAUGAUCUAACUAUGGGGAAAAAUGUUUUAAAGUACAAUUUUCACAUAAAUCAAGUAGCACAUGAAGAGGAAAAAUAAACCUAAUAUUGCCUUUAGGAGUAUCCGCAUAUUAGUGAAGGACUAUGUAAAGGUGUCUGCAAGAAUCUGCAUAGAAGUAAUCAUUUCUGGAAAUCCAGAUUACUUAGUGGCAUCUGCUGAAACACAGAUGAGUUAAAAUACUUGUUAUGAAGAGGGCCUGUACCAAUGAUUUUGAUCUUUCAUUAAAAAAGGAAAUUUCAAGCUCUUAGAAACAAAGAAAAAAUAAACGAGUGUUACAAGAAUGUUUUAAGCAUUCCGUAGAUGGCUCAAGAAUAGUAUAUGCAGGGCUGCCUUUUACAUUUAGGGCUGGACUGGGACAUGGUACGUAGGAAAUUGCAUGGUGAAGUGGUACAAGCAUCAGGCUCAAGAAUGAGAGUCCAGUUUGACAGACCAGAUGAAGAAGUGAUUAAGACCAUAGUUCUGGACUUAGACAAGCCUGGCUUUGUGACUUUGGACAAAUUAUUUGAUAACUGUAAGUGUAUUUAUCACUAAAAGGCAGAUAAUAA